UACAGAGGGUGCGAGCGUUGUUCGGAAUUAUUGGGCGUAAAGCGCUGGUAGGCGGCUUGUCAAGUCGCGUGUGAAAGCUCAAGGCUUAACCUUGAAAGUGCGCGCGAAACUGGCGAGCUUGAGUGUCGGAGAGGGUCGCGGAAUUCCCGGUGUAGCGGUGAAAUGCGUAGAUAUCAGGAGGAACACCUGUGGUGUAGACAGCUUACUGGACCAUUUCUGACGCUGAGACACGAAAGCGUGGGUAGCAAACAGG
rnacentral:rRNA from 1 species